UACCAGGCAACAUGAAUGUUUUCGUGGAA
rnacentral:piRNA from 1 species